AGAUUGAACGCUAGCGGGAUGCUUUACACAUGCAAGUCGAACGGCAGCGCGGACUUCGGUCUGGCGGCGAGUGGCGAACGGGUGAGUAAUAUAUCGGAACGUGCCCAGUAGCGGGGGGAUAACUACGCGAAAGCGUGGCUAAUACCGCAUACGCCCUACGGGGGAAGGGGGGAUUCUUCGGAACCUCUCACUAUUGGAGCGGCCGAUAUCAGAUUAGCUAGUUGGUGAGGUAAAGGCUCACCAAGGCGACGAUCUGUAGCUGGUUUGAGAGGACGACCAGCCACACUGGGACUGAGACACGGCCCAGACUCCUACGGGAGCAGCAGUGGGAAUUUGGACAAGUGGGGGAAACCUGAUCCAGCCAUCCCGCGUGUGCGAUGAACGGCCGUUCGGGUUAGUAAGCUACGUUUUGGCGAGGAAGGAACGGCGUAGUCCGUAA
rnacentral:rRNA from 1 species